UGCAUGGCUGAGCUGUGUCUCACGGGUGGCUCCCGUGUGGUUCAUGUGUGGUUCAAGCAUGGAACAUGUGUGUUUCACAGGUUCUUCAGAUGGGGUUCAAGGAUGUCUCCCAAGUGCUUCUUGCCUGGCUCACAGAUGGUUCAGGUGUAAAUCAGGCGUGGAUCUCACAUGACUCAUCUGGGUCACAUAUGGUAUAGGACACUUUCACACGUGGUUCAGGCAUAGCUCAGCCAUGGCUCACACGUGACGCAGGCCUGCCACAGAACUGGCUCCUAUGUGGCUGUCACAUGAUACAGGCUUUGGUCACGCAUGCAUCACACAUGGUUCAGGUGUGGCACAUGCAUGUUUGUGGUGUGGGUCAUGCGUGGCUCACAUGUGUUUUAGGCAUGUGUGGCACGUGGUUCAGGCAUGGCAGGCAAGUUGUGCCAGUGUGGCUGACACGUGCUUCAAGUGAGGCUGACCUGUGGUUCAAGAGUGAGUGGCACUUUGUUCAGGCAUGGCUGGCCCGUCACUUGGUGCUGGGAAACCUUGACACAGGCGUGGUUCCCACGUUGUUCAGGAGAGGCUGACACCUGACGCACGUGAGGUGGAAACCGUGACACAGGCGUGCCUGACACGUCACUCAGGUGUAGUUCACACAAGGUUCAUGCAUGGCAUUCCUGUGGUUCAGGUGUUGCUGGUGCCUGGUGCAAACAUGUGUGGCAGGUGGCUCAGGCGUGGCUGAAAUGUGCCUGUGGCAUGUGCGAAACAGGACUCCGGUGUGGUUGACACAUGUGUUAGGCAUGGCUUACAUGUGACUCAGGCAUUCAUGGCCCAGUAUCCAUGUUUGACGGAAAUGAGAUGAGGCAGGAGUCACAUGCCGUACAUGGGUGGCUCCCACGUGCCUACAGUGUGCUGAAACGUGGCUCCCACAUACUCAGUCAUGGCUGCCACGUGGCUCACGCAUGGCUCAGCUGUGUUUCACGGGUGGCUCCCCUGUGGUUCAUGCUUAUUUCAAGCAUAUAACAUGUGUGUUUCACAGGUUCUUCACAUGGGGUUCAAGGGUGUCUCCCAUGUGGUUCCUGCAUGGCUCACACAUGGUUCGGGUGUAAUUCAGGUGUGGAUCUCACAUGACUCGUCUGGGUCACAUAUGGUUGAGGACACUCUCACACGUGGUUCAGGCAUAGCUCAGCCAUGGCUCACACGUCACACAGGUGUGCCACAGAACUGGCUCCCUUGUGGCUGACACAUGAUACAGGCAUUGGUCACGCAUGGCUCACACAUGGUUCAGCUGUGGCUCAUGCAUGUGUGUGGUGUUGGUC
rnacentral:lncRNA from 1 species